GCGGCGCUGAGGCGGUGUCAGGGGGAGGCGCGGCUCAAGCGCUGUUUGCGGAGAGGAGCAGCCCGUGUGAAAUCCCAUGAACAAAUCCCGACCAGCCACAGUCAGUCCAGGAAUGAGGCGCUGCUUUUUUUAUGGAAAAAAGCAUAAAAAGUGAGGCCCUUCCAGCACCUCAGAGAAUGAGCUGAGAGAAGAUAAAUCCUGAUGAUUUAUGGGUUUGGAUCACCUUGAAGAUUCCCAGUGUGGGAGGCUGAUCCCAGGUUUUCGUGGGAUUUAAUAACUCAUUAAACAGCUUGGAAAAAAUG